rnacentral:rRNA from 1 species
GACGAACGCUGGCGGCGUGCCUAAUACAUGCAAGUCGAGCGAAGUUUUUCUGGUGCUUGCACUAGAAAAACUUAGCGGCGAACGGGUGAGUAACACGUAAAGAACCUGCCUCAUAGUCUGGGACAACUAUUGGAAACGAUAGCUAAUACCGGAUAACAGUAUUUCUCGCAUGAGAGAUAUUUAAAAGUUGGUUAUGCUAACACUAUGAGAUGGCUUUGCGGUGCAUUAGCUAGUUGGUGGGGUAAAGGCCCACCAAGGCGACGAUGCAUAGCCGACCUGAGAGGGUGAUCGGCCACACUGGGACUGAGACACGGCCCAGACUCCUACGGGAGGCAGCAGUAGGGAAUCUUCCGCAAUGGGCGAAAGCCUGACGGAGCAACGCCGCGUGAGUGAAGAAGGAUUUCGGUUCGUAAAGCUCUGUUGUUAGGGAAGAAUGGAUAUGUAGUAACUAUACAUGUAAGAGACGGUACCUAACCAGAAAGCCACGGCUAACUACGUG